rnacentral:lncRNA from 12 species
CCAAGAGUCCGAUGCUCAACCAAGGGCACCCAGGUGCCCCUCAUUCUUUUGUCCCAAUUCUGUGCAUUGGGCCAGAGAGAGUAGUAAAUCUGUGUCCUUGAUGCAGUCAGUCAAGAAGACUAUGAGGUGCUAAGGUGAGCAAUCUUUUUCAUCUUCUGGGUUACAUCCCUUCACAUGCUUGAAGAUCCUAAUUGGAUCUCUCUUCUGCCUUGCUACAUGACUGCUGCAUACAAGUCCCCAUUGUUCUAAGUUCCUGACUCAGUUAGUGAAGUUAAUUCUCCUCUAAGAGGAGAUGCAGAGUCACCAACCAGGAAGACAGAAUUGUUUUUAAAUCCUCUGAGGGGCACCUGCAAAAGAGAGAGUGUGGCAAUUAGAUAGGUUAUCCUAGCAUCCCUAAAGUCUAGAACAGCUAAUUGAGGCAAAGGUCAAUUUCCUGAGCCUAAAUUAUGUACAUAAUGCAUUUUUGUUUUUCUACCGCUUUAGAAAUGCAGAGCCAGUCAAAAUAAACAUAUAGUUUCAAGAGGUGAAAAGAGCUUA